rnacentral:tRNA from 2 species
GGUAGGGUGGCCGAGCGGCUGAAGGCGGCGGUCUUGAAAACCGCUAUCCCGCUUAGCGGGAUCGUGAGUUCGAAUCUCACCCCUACCG